UUAAUAGGUUUAGGAAUAGGUGCAAUAAAAUAUUCUUUUGAACAACCUUUUUUAUUGCUUAAAAGGGAAAUCGGUUAAACUCCGAUGCUGUCCCGCAACUGUAUAUGGGAGCGAUUCGACUACAUACCACUGUUUUCAUUCGUAUGAAAAUGGGAAGGUUCGAAAAGUGAUGACCAUGAGCCAGGAGACCUGCCUAUUCUAGCAACAUCCA
rnacentral:ncRNA from 2 species